GACGAAGGGGGCUAGCGUUGUUCGGAAUUACUGGGCGUAAAGCGCGCGCAGGCGGUCUUUCAAGUCAGUGGUGAAAGCCUGGAGCUCAACUCCAGAACUGCCAUUGAAACUGCAAGACUUGAGUACGAGAGAGGUGAGUGGAAUUCCCAGUGUAGAGGUGAAAUUCGUAGAUAUUGGGAAGAACACCGGUGGCGAAGGCGGCUCACUGGCUCGUAACUGACGCUCAGGCGCGACAGCGUGGGGAUCAAACAGG
rnacentral:rRNA from 1 species